GAUGAACGCUGGCGGCGUGCUUAACACAUGCAAGUCGAACGGAAAGGCCCAGGCUUGCUUGGGUGCUCGAGUGGCGAACGGGUGAGUAACACGUGGGUAAUCUGCCCUUCACUUCGGGAUAACUCCGGGAAACUGGGGCUAAUACCGGAUAGGACCACCUUCUGGAUGGUGGGGGGGGGAGAGUUUCGGUGGGGGAUGAGCUCGCGGCCUAUCAGCUUGUUGGUGGGGUAGUGGCGUACCAAGGCGUCGACGGGUAGCCGGCCUGAGAGGGUGACCGGCCACAUUGGGACUGAGAUACGGCCCAGACUCCUACGGGAGGCAGCAGUGGGGAAUAUUGCACAAUGGGCGGAAGCCUGAUGCAGCGACGCCGCGUGGGGGAUGACGGCCUUCGGGUUGUAAACUCCUUUCGCUAGGGACGAAGCGUGAGUGACGGUACUUGGUGAAGAAGCACCGGCUAACUACGUG
rnacentral:rRNA from 1 species